rnacentral:misc_RNA from 1 species
AACGCACAUUGCGCCUGCUGGUAUUCCGGUAGGCAUGCCUGUUUGAGCGUCAGCAAAAACCUCUCAGUAGUACUUUAUUGUAAUGCUGGUUAUGGGUGCAGAGGAAUGGUUUGCGUUCGCGCAAACCGCUCUCACUUUAAACUUGCUGCACGACCGCAAGCUAAUGCUAGGUUAAUGGAGUGGUAUUUAUUUAAAUUCCAGCAACUGUUCAAUAGCUUAUGGCGUUAAAAUUGAUGUCGCCUCACCGCGACUGAAGUUUGACCUCAAAUCAGACAAGGAUACCCGCUGAACUUAA